AAUGAGGGGCAAUCCUUCCUCUCCUAACUC
rnacentral:tRNA from 2 species